UCAUAUGUGUCGUCUGGAAAAAUCCACACUGUCAGCACAAGUUUCUAUUCGGCAAUGUUCAAGUUAUUCCUUUCGAAAUAAUCGAUAGGUAAGAAAGGUCGACAAAAAAAAGGUUUACAAAAAUUGUCGCGUGCGUUUGUUUGAUACUUUGUCUAUGAAAAAGGGAGACACUUUGACCACAUUUUGUUACAACAUUCUCUUUAAAGUAUAAGUUGAAUAACAAUGGUACCGGUAUAGUAUAAGUUGAAAGGGUAUUAAUUGCUAGAAUGCACAGGGAACAUGGUCUGCGUUGUAAUAACUAGACAUUUUGUCGAUUUUUUUCUUGACAAAAUGUCGCGGAGUUGCAUGACAAAAAUGUCGAGAUAAAAGUCGAAAAUUGUCUACUUUUACCUGACAGAUUUCUCAACAACUAACAUAAGCCAAAAAUAAACACCUACAUAAGUUAUCAGUCUGAUUCAAUAACGGCCGCCUCGGUUCAUUUCGCUGGACACAAUAAAGAAAUGAUUACCAUCACAUUGAUCGACGUCUAAUCUCUAAUGUACUUGGACCGCGAAACAUCGGACAACUAUUUUACAGGGAUUUUACAUUAUGUAGCAUUUUUGGCUGCAUCUACCGACGAAAUGACACGAAUGGAAAGAGUUUCAAGCUAGCAAAGCUACGGAAAACGCAUACAAGUUUGAACGAGAUUGAAAACGCGAUAAAAUUUUUUUUUUGGGAAUCCCAUGAACCAUCUGAGUCCAUCUCCAAAGCACAGCGCACCACAGUUGCAUUGCUUGUUUCAAUUGCAAUCAUAUUGAUCCCGAAAUUGUACAAUUGUUACCCUCUCGGUCACGCGAUAACGAACGUUCCGGAUGGUUGGAAGCCAGUCGACAUAAAUUGUCCAUAAGAAUAAAAAAUAACAAUCCGGUUUGACAUGCAUCUAUAAGUGAUAAAGAGCGCCAUAGCUGAAAUUGAUUUUAGGUUAAAAAUUCGGAUAAUUGAAUAUUUGUGUUAUUGUCUGGUUGAACAAAUCGUGGUUUCCACAGCAACAAACUGAAAAUGAUGCGCUGUAUCACACGAUGCGCAACUAGUGAAGAUUUUACGUCUCUAAAUACCCUUUAUAAAAGCAUCUGCGACCUUAGUUAACUCUUGCAGAUAUAGAGAAGUUAGCUUUCUGCUUUCACGUCUAAUUCGCAAUGCGUCUAACAUUACCCUAUCUCAUUUUCUUUGUUUGGUUCAGCAUUUUCUCCUGCUCCUCGUCUGUGUCGAAUCCGCUCAACGGCAAACACCUUCGCGUCAUCUGGGUUCAAUUACAUUUUUUUUUUCAUCUAUUGCUUUCAUGAAUGGUCGGCUAGACAAUUCAAUUACCAGGCACGUACUGUUCUUUUUUCCAGCCAAGUUGGAGUGGUAAUCCCAAAGUAUUGCUGGGACCACUUAAAGGCGGUGUCCUCCUUGAUUACCUAUCGGCUCGUUUCAAUUUCACGCACCAGAUGGUUCCAGUGGAAGGCGGACUCGAACCCACCGUAGGACGAGGGCAGUUGAACUACUUGAUCGAUAACCAAUGCGACCUGCUGAUCAACAAUAUUAUUCCGACAGUUUCGCGAAAUAAAAACGUUGAUUUGACAAUUCCUUGGACUUAUGACAAUUUCGCUAUCCUGAUUCCCGUUCCCGAUGAAACGGCCAACAUCAACGCCGUCAUCAAACCUUUCCAA